GCGUGUGCAGCUUUUUCAGUUAACUGGUCUUUGCAUCGAUCAUCAAUCUGCUCGGGUCCGUUCGAUCCCGUUGCGUGGGUAGCUGCAGUCAAUAGUUAAUUCUUUAGAUAAUUAAAAUGGUGCACACGAAACUGGAGAACUGAUGCAGUUUCAUGCACAAUGCAGCCUUUUUCACUUCCAAGAAAAAUCCACAUUUGAUCCAAAAUACCAUGAGCCACUAAGAGACUAUCUUGUCUUAGUUCAGGGCUACCAUUAGUAUCGAAUUCAAGAAGCCAUUUACACAGAGUCAUCCUCCUGCAAGUGGAAAUAUUAUUUUGAUGAUUUAAAUCCUGAAAAGAAAGAUAAUGACGGGAAGAGUGAUCAGUGUUGUUACCUGGCCACACGUACACAUUCUAGACUGUUCGCCCUUGGUGCACAGCUUUCAAACCAGAAACACUUGGUAGCGGGUACUGGAGGCGGGGUGGGG
rnacentral:lncRNA from 1 species